CCUACGGGUGGCAGCAGUGGGGAAUAUUGGACAAUGGGCGAAAGCCUGAUCCAGCCAUGCCGCGUGUGUGAAGAAGGCCUUCGGGUUGUAAAGCACUUUCAGUGGGGAAGAAAGCCUUGGGGCUAAUACCCUCGAGGAAGGACAUCACCCACAGAAGAAGCACCGGCUAACUCCGUGCCAGCAGCCGCGGUAAUACGGAGGGUGCGAGCGUUAAUCGGAAUUACUGGGCGUAAAGCGCGCGUAGGCGGUCUGAUAAGCCGGUUGUGAAAGCCCCGGGCUCAACCUGGGAACGGCAUCCGGACCUGUCAGGCUGGAGUGCAGGAGAGGAAGGUAGAAUUCCCGGUGUAGCGGUGAAAUGCGUAGAGUUCGGGAGGAAUACCAGUGGCGAAGGCGGCCUUCUGGACUGACACUGACGCGGAGGUGCGAAGGCGUGGGUAGCAAACAGGAUUAGAUACCCGAGUAGUC
rnacentral:rRNA from 1 species